rnacentral:lncRNA from 2 species
ACACUUGCCAAUGUUACUAAUUUAAGUGCAGUUGAACUUAAAAGAAAGCCUGAUAGAGAGGUGUACGCUUCACUUUCUGCCGAGGAGAAAGAGGCUAAGCUUCAAAAUAACCGUGAUUAUAGACAGCGUAAGAAGGAGGCAAAAACAUCUCUAACCGGAACACUUGAUGACAUUACUAAUUUAAGUGCAAUCGAACUUGGAAGAAAGCGUGAUAAAGAGAUAAAGUUUGGUCAGUACGACCAAUACAACCAUUACCGUUGUGCUAUGGCCAGACAGUGGGAUCGGUCCUCUUCCAACUACAUACACGAUUAUUUGGUGCACUGGAAGGCGACGACGGCGGAGACGAUUGGCGGCAUUCGCUGGUGGGUGGAGCUCAGAGAAGCGGAGCGCGGGUCGAAGCCAGCCACGCUGGAGGUGUCCGCAGCGGCUGGUUGGAAGGAUCUUUUCCUCUCUUCUUGUGCACUUGGUGGAGUGGUCGAGCUCCAGAAGAGCCAAAGACGGAAAGAGGCAUUCAUUGAGGUAGGCAGCGCCAAGGUUGAAGCGAUGAGCGGGAGCGCCCGCCGAGGUUACAGAGUAUUCAUCGAGGCGACAUUAUAUAUCCGACCGACGACGACGAGAGCUAUACCGGCAUCUCGCCUAAGAGCGUUCAUCGACAGCAGGGUUGUCACCGAUCUAGAUCGAGCACAAAACAAGAAAACCAAGGAAUGA